CCAUGCACCCCUUUCCCCUUCUUUCUCCUCCCCUCCACCCAGCCAAACCCUAGCCAAUCCUAUUCUAUCUUGCUGCUGCAGCCCUUCUCCUUCCCUGGUGUGGUAGUGCCCCCUUGCUGUUGCAGCCCCUCUCCUUCCCUGGUGUGGCGGUGCCACCUUUGCUGCUGGAGCCCCUCUCCAAUCCAAGCUUGGUGACAGCAAGGGCAGACUUCAUGGCCGGGAGAGGCACGCAGGGAAGGGGAACAAAUUCGUGAUUCUCGCGUAGGUGGUGGUGCUUCGUCUCAUACUUGAAGUUCGCCGUUAUCGUCGGUUGAAGGCAA